rnacentral:rRNA from 1 species
UACGUAGGGGGCAAGCGUUGUCCGGAAUCACUGGGCGUAAAGAGCGCGUAGGCGGUCCGGUAAGUCCGCUCUGAAAGUCCGGGGCUCAACCCCGGGAGGCGGGCGGAUACUGUCGGGCUAGAGUCCGGAAGAGGCGAGUGGAAUUCCUGGUGUAGCGGUGAAAUGCGCAGAUAUCAGGAGGAACACCAAUGGCGAAGGCAGCUCGCUGGGACGGUACUGACGCUGAGGCGCGAAAGCGUGGGGAGCAAACAGG